GUGAAAUGAUGCAGAAAGUGAGUGUGUGCAUGGUCUGUUGUUUUUGAAUAGUGUGAUGGAUGAGGGAGAAAUGUAAAUGAUUUAGUGUUAUUCUUUAUAUUUUAUUUUAUUUGUUUUAAAAGGUUAAGAUCUGUUUUGAAACUUAGAAAGUGCAAUCUUUCAUUUUCUUUGAAUUUCGAUUUAGGGGAGUUUUAAAUAGAAUAUUAAGUACAAUUUCCUAAUUUUUUGUGUACUUACAACGAAAAAAUUUUCUUUAAUCAAUUUUUUGCUGUAUAAAUUCUUCAAAAAUGUUUUUAGUUAGCUAAAGAUGAAAUCUGGGAGCUAUAAUCAAAUAUAUCUUGUUGUUACGUGUUAUCAAUGCAAAAUGUGACUUGAAACAUAUAACAUGUGAUCUAUAACUUGUGACUCGGAAGCUGCGACAAUUGCGUAAUUAUGAUUUGUAACGAAGAUUGGUGUUGGAUUGGGAUCGAUAGUGGGGGUAUUUGGUGCAUGUGACCAAUAAAUUUGAAUAUAUAUGACCUUGUGAUUUGUAAUUUUUUUGAUUUGUGACCUGUAAAUUUUUGAUCUGUGACUUACAAAUUUUUUGAAUUUGUGAUUCGAAAUAAUCUGUAACCAAUUAAUUCGAUGAUAUGUGACCAAUAAUUAUGAAUCUGUGACAAUUAAUUGUGUAAUUG
rnacentral:lncRNA from 1 species